ensembl:lncRNA
AGACCAAGUUCUUUUUAUUUAGACAGGGAGUCAAUGCUGAGACCAAGGUAUCUUUAUUUAGACAGGGAGUCAACGCUGAGACCAAGGUCUAUUUAUUUAGACGGGAGUCAAUGCUGAGACCAAGGUCUAUUUAGACAGGGAGUCAAAGCUGAGACAGAGGUCUCUUUAUUUAGACAGGGAGUCAAUGCUGAGACCAAGGUGUCUUUAUUUAGACAGGGAGUCAAUGCUGAGACCAAGGUGUCUUUAUUUAGACAGGGAGUCAAUGCUGAGACCAAGGUGUCUUUAUUUAGACCGGGAGUCAAUGCUGAGACCAAGGUCUAUUUAGACAGGGAGUCAAUGCUGAGACCAAGGUCUCUUUAUUUAGACAGGGAGUCAAUGCUGAGACCAAGGUGCCUUUAUUUAGACAGGGAGUCAAUGCUGAGACCAAGGUGUCUUUAUUCAGACAGGGAGUCAAUGCUGACAUGUAGAAGUGGUUGUAGAGCGUGCAGACAGGGUUUUAGACCAUGUAAAUGUGGUUGUAGCACGAGUAGAUGUGGUGGUAGUAUGUGUAAAUGUGGUUGUAGAGCGUGCAGACAGGGUUUUAGACCAUGUAAAUGUGGUUGUAGCACGAGUAGAUGUGGUGGUAGUAUGUGUAAAUGUGGUUGUAGGACGUGCAGGAUGAGUAGAUGUGGUUUUAGGAUGUGUAGAUGGGGUUGUAGGAUGUGUAGAUGGGGUUGGAGGACGUGUAGAUGUGUAGAUGGGGUUGGAUGACGUGUAGAUGGGGUUGGAGGACGUGUAGAUGGGUUUGGAGGACGUGUAGAUGGGGUUGGAUGACGUGUAGAUGGGGUUGGAUGACGUGUAGAUGGGGUUGUAGGACGUGUAGAUGGGGUUGUAGGACGUGUAGAUGGGGUUGUAGGACGUGUAGAUGGGGUUGUAGGACGUGUAGAUGGGGUUG